CUGGGAUAAGAGAGGAACCAAGAAUCACAAUUGCUAGGUUUCAAAGUGGACUCAACUUUGACAUAAGAGAUAAGGUAGAACUUUUACCUUAUAAUGAUCUCAAUGAGUUAGUCCAACUUUGUGUUAGAGUAGAGCAACAAUUGAAGAGGAAAACUCCCUCUAAAACGGACUAUUCUGAUUCUUCCUACCCUAGGAAAGAAUCUAAGAGGGAGGGUGAACCUUCCAAAUCAAAAGAAGAGGGACCAAGGGAAAAGGAAAAAGAAAAAUAUCCCUCUAAAGAAUCUUCAAAAAAUGAUAGGGUAAAAGAGACCAAGUGUUUUAGAUGUGGUUAUAAAGGGCACUAUUCUUCUGAGUGUCCUAACAAAAGGUCUACUUAUAUCCUAGAACAUCAAAAUAAAGAUGAAGAUUCUUCUAGUGAUUCAAAAACUUCCAUAUCUGAGGAAGAAGCCUUACCUUGUGAAGGAGAGUUGUUAUUGGUGAGAAGANUUCUUGGAAGUCAACAUAUAGAAUUAGAACAAUCNNAAAGGGAGAAUCUAUUCCACACAAGAUGCAAAGUUUUUGAAAAUACAUGUUCAUUGAUUGUGGAUAGUGGAUCAUCUUGUAAUUGUUGUAGUUCUAGAAUGGUGGAAAAAUUGGCCUUAACUANUAUUCCUCAUCCCAAGCCUUACAAGCUUCAAUGGAUAAAAGAGGAUGAAGAAAUAGUAGUCAACACACAAGUAAACAUACCUAUCUCCAUUGGAAACUAUGAAGAAAAUAUUUUAUGUGAUGUUGUGCCAAUGGAUGCUGGGCAUGUUCUACUAGGAAGGCCAUGGCAAUAUGAUCAUAACUCCAUUCAUGAUGGCUACACCAAUAAGAUAACUUUUCUCCACAAAGGAAGUAAAAUAACUUUGAUUCCUCUUACACCUCAACAAGUGAAAGAGGAUGAAAUAAAGAUAAAAAUGAAAAUUGAAAAAGAAAGAAAAGAGGAAGAAAGGUUGGAUAAACAACCUUCUAAAAGAGAAAAGGGAAAGAAGAAGAAGGUAUGCAUGCUUUUAAAUUCUUCACCCAAAGGUAAAUACCUUGAAUCUUCUUAUCAAAAAAGUCACUUUGAAGGGGAGUGUUCAAAACAAAGUGAAAAUAAAAUAAAGGCCAAGGAUACUUCUAAGAAAAUUUUUUUCAAAAGGCCUUCAUUCUGUAUUCUUUUCUUUGGAUACAUCCUUUUAAUAAUUGAUGAGUGCAUAUUUAUGUCUACAUUUAUGCUUUAAAAUUAAAAUUUUUGAUAGAAUAUUUGUGCUUAAAUGAUUGAUUUGUAGAGGAUUUGUGAUUAUUAGAUUUAGCGCUUUUGGAAUUAAAGAGGCUUAAAAAGUGAUUUUAAUUGCAUAAAUUAUUCUUGGAUAUUCUAAUAUUUAUUUGUGCAGCUGAAAUUAGAGUUUUAUUGGUCCAAAUUGCAAUUUAAAGCCCAAAAUCAGAUUUUAUUUGAUAAAUAGUGUCCAGAUGGGCUAAAGAAGCAGUUUUUACCCUUGCACCUCCCAAAAUUCCCUAUAUGCACCCCUCUCUCCUAAACCAGGCUAACAACCAAGCCCAGACUAAGCCUUUUCUCUCCUGUAAUCCCUAAUUUCCUAUACACACCUCUCUUACCACUAAUUAAACCAGAUUACAUCACAUUUAGCCACAUGGCAGUCCACUACUAAUAGAUCCAACCACCCAGAUAAUGCCACGUCACUGAUCCUACUACNCACCAAAUACACCACUCAGAACAUGCCACCUAGCCCCUCUUGCCACGUCAUCACCAUCCCCAACAGAAACCCUAAUUCCUNACCAGAAACCCUAGCCGCCGUCAGGUAUCCUAGCCGCCGCACCAGAUCCGCCAGCUUCUCGACGCGUCACCUUCUUCCAUCAUCAUCGCGCCAUCCAUGAAGACGCCUCGACCUCCAUGACGCGCCACCUUCUUCCUCGACGCCGUCACCAUGCCGCAGUUUAGCAAGCCUCGCAGAUUCGAACCUUCUUCGAAUCUGGAUCAUCUUCAUCACCAUAACCACCGAAAGCAAGCCGCCGGCAGCCACCAUUGAAUCGCACAUCAACACCAUCUUCUUCCUCGAAAUCGCGCCACGAAACCCUUCGUUCAUCUUCUCAUUGUCUCACCAUGUCUUCGCAACCUGCAGAAAACUCAGAAAAACCAGAGAACCCAAAAAUCGCAUCACCUUCAUCUUCUUCGCACCUUGCCUUCCACAAGCCAUCCUCGCCGGAGCACUAGUCACCGUCAGUCGCCCAACGCCAUUGAACAGCAACCACCUUCAUCUUCUUCGCAAUGCCACCAAUUGCAAAACCUAGAAGCGAGUUCUCAACAGUAAUCGCAAAAUACGAAUCCCAUCAGCCCUAGAAUCGCGAUUCCUUCGUCCUCUGUCACCAAGCGUAAUUCGAUCUCCUUCCAAACCUGCAUCAAAACCAGACCUGCACAGAAAAACCAAAAUCACACCAUAGCCACCGCGCCUCCAAAGAGUGAAACCUCUCUCCCAAUCUCGCGCAGCAGGCGAAGAUAGAAUGGAGCCCCCAAAUCCCUUUACCCCCAAUCCGAAACCCUAAUUUUGGGUGGGGAAGGAAAGAACACGUGGCAGCAUUCCAUUAACACAUCCAUUUGAUUAAACCUGGUCAAAGUCUGGUCAACUGAGGGGUUCUGUUGCAAUUUUGAAGAAUUCUGGAGGGACUAAAGUGCAGAUAUAGGAANCUUCAGGAUAUUUGUGCAAUUUUGGAAAUUCAGAAAAGUUUAAAGAUAAAAUUCAGUAAUUNAUUUAAUUUGGGAAUAUUAACAGAAAAUAUUUUCCAAAUAANGUUAUAAUUAUCUAAAUCUUUUAGUUAUUUGGAAGAUAUAAGAUAAGAGAUUUGAUCAACUGAAUAUUUAGAGUCCAAGCCCAAUCAAGCCCUAUAUAAAGAGACCCAGGGGAGACACAAAGGACAGCAUUCAUUCAUCCAUUCAUCCACCACUGCUUUCAC
rnacentral:lncRNA from 1 species